GGAACGUUACUUAAUGAAAAUAUUUUAAUUAAAAAUCAAUAAUUUAAUAUUUAUAAAAUGCUACUUUUCCAUCUUGCAACACCGCCAACACUGGACAUUAGUUCCACCAGUAGCCGCUGUCGCAAGUAUCAAGAAGAACUGUCAAAUUUUUAAAAAGUUUGACUGUUAGCUGAACCUCCAAAUAAAUAAGUUCCAAGUGGUCGGUGGCUUUUUGAACAAAAAAAGGAAUCACCUUUUAGUUAUUUUUUUUUUAUACGGAAGCUAUCGUAAUUAAGUUGAAGGAGGAGAAAGUUUUGUUUUGUUGAAGGAGAAAAGUAUUAAUUUGGUAAAAAUUUGGGAUGAUUGCUAUCGGCCACUUGGAACCACUGGAAUAUUCAUCCCACUAACAUCAGGGAUGAAAUAAA
rnacentral:lncRNA from 1 species